AUGCUCAAGAUGAAAAGCCACUCAGCUAUAAGUCCCACAAACAGUUGUAUGAGGCAGCCUAUAUGCCUGGUCUCUUCCCCACAGCUGCCUGAUAUUCUGGGGUAUGGAGGCUCAGUGCGAAAACCUUUGGAAAUCUCCAGAUGCCAUUACAAAAUUAACCAUGAUGAUGAUGAUGCACUUUUUGAGCACAGCUCUUUCUUCCAGAAGAGACAAGAUGAUUCCUCAGGCCGAACCCACUAUCCCUUCAUCCUUGACUCACAAAUCCAAGAAGAGUAGGAGACCCCAAAAUAUUCAAGACACUCAUCUAGAAGUGGGAAGUAUG
rnacentral:lncRNA from 1 species